rnacentral:misc_RNA from 1 species
GAUGAAGAACGUAGCGAAAUGCGAUAAGUAAUGUGAAUUGCAGAAUUCAGUGAAUCAUCGAAUCUUUGAACGCACAUUGCGCCCGCCAGUAUUCUGGCGGGCAUGCCUGUUCGAGCGUCAUUACAACCCUCAGGCCCCCGGGCCUGGCGUUGGGGAUCGGCGGAAGCCCCCUGCGGGCACAACGCCGUCCCCCAAAUACAGUGGCGGUCCCGCCGCAGCUUCCAUUGCGUAGUAGCUAACACCUCGCAACUGGAGAGCGGCGCGGCCACGCCGUAAAACACCCAACUUCUGAAUGUUGACCUCGAAUCAGGUAGGAAUACCCGCUGAACUUAAGCAGAUCAAUAAGCGGAGGA